rnacentral:rRNA from 1 species
GACGAACGCUGGCGGCGUGCCUAAUACAUGCAAGUCGAACGCUUCUUUCCUCCCGAGUGCUUGCACUCAAUUGGAAAGAGGAGUGGCGGACGGGUGAGUAACACAUGGGUAACCUACCCAUCAGAGGGGGAUAACACUUGGAAACAGGUGCUAAUACCGCAUAACAGUUUAUGCCGCAUGGCAUAAGAGUGAAAGGCGCUUUCGGGUGUCGCUGAUGGAUGGACCCGCGGUGCAUUAGCUAGUUGGUGAGGUAACGGCUCACCAAGGCCACGAUGCAUAGCCGACCUGAGAGGGUGAUCGGCCACACUGGGACUGAGACACGGCCCAGACUCCUACGGGAGGCAGCAGUAGGGAAUCUUCGGCAAUGGACGAAAGUCUGACCGAGCAACGCCGCGUGAGUGAAGAAGGUUUUCGGAUCGUAAAACUCUGUUGUUAGAGAAGAACAAGGACGUUAGUAACUGAACGUCCCCUGACGGUAUCUAACCAGAAAGCCACGGCUAACUACGU